UCCAUAAAAAUAUCUGUCCAGUGGGCAAUAUACAUUUCAAGCUCCAGAAAAUCAUAUUCAAACUACCGCUCCACUAAAUGACUCAGAUUGCACUCCGUUAUUGCACAUUUACUUUUAAGUUAUGAAUCCAAUUUAGAUCUCAGAAACCAGAGCAACAAUUCGACUUCAAUAAGAACCACUUUGUGCUUACCCAAUUAAAUUGAUAACAAGCUGUUCCAUAAUUUAGCCCAUGUUUGUCUCUCAUUAUUUCAAAAACCUCUCUCUCUCUCUCUCUCUCUCUCUCUUCAAAAACCUUUGCGGCUAUAAAUCAUCAUCGUUAUCUUGUCCUUUGUGGUUGAGAUUGAGAAGCAAUCAAGCUGAAUAUAUUGCUUGUAGAUUGGAGCCGUUUGAAUUGGUUGUUUGUAAGAGAAA
rnacentral:lncRNA from 1 species